UACGGGGGGUGCGAGCGUUGUCCGGAAUCACUGGGCUUAAAGGGCGCGUAGGCGGGCUGCUAAGUCAGGGGUGAAAGCCCACGGCUCAACCGGGGAAUUGCGCCUGAUACUGGCGGGCUAGAGAUCGAUAGGGGUGAGUGGAACUCCAGGUGGAGCGGUGAAAUGCGUAGAUAUCUGGAGGAACACCGGUGGCGAAAGCGGCUCACUGGAUCGAUACUGACGCUGAGGUGCGAAAGCUAGGGUAGCAAACGGG
rnacentral:rRNA from 1 species